UCGGGAAUUUUGGGCAAUGGGCGAAAGCCUGACCCAGCAACGCCGCGUGAAGGAUGAAGUAUUUCGGUAUGUAAACUUCGAAAGAAUAGGAAGAAUAAAUGACGGUACUAUUUAUAAGGUCCGGCUAACUACGUGCCAGCAGCCGCGGUAAUACGUAGGGACCAAGCGUUGUUCGGAUUUACUGGGCGUAAAGGGCUCGUAGGCGGCCAACUAAGUCAGACGUGAAAUCCCUCGGCUUAACCGGGGAACUGCGUCUGAUACUGGAUGGCUUGAAUCCGGGAGAGGGAUGCGGAAUUCCAGGUGUAGCGGUGAAAUGCGUAGAUAUCUGGAGGAACACCGGUGGCGAAGGCGACAUCCUGGACCAAUUCUGACGCUGAGGAGCGAAAGCCAGGGGAGCAAACGGGAUUAGAUACCCUCGUAGUCCCUGAGCGGGCUGGCAAGGCG
rnacentral:rRNA from 1 species